AAUAAAACCCUCUCUAUGGCCAGGGCGUGACAAAAUGUCAUUACAUACCAGACAUUUUUAGUAUAUUCUCAGCCAUUUCUUUUCGCAGUUGCUCCAUGUGUUUUUGUGAAGGUUCUAUAUCAAUUUGGGAGGGGAUGUUGGGGAAGUUAUGUGCAUCUUCCUUGGCCAUCUACACCAAAAAAAUUGUGUAGGCGUUAAGCGCACGCAAAUGUGCAUGCAGGCGGUUCAACAUGUGCUAAAUAAACGGCUGCAAGCGGUCCUGCACACGUCAAGUUGAGGCCUACAGCUGCUAAAUAUACACCUACACACGGUAACUUAAUGCGUUCCUUAAUAUGCUAAUUUUACUAGCCAAUUUCCCUAGCUCCUCCUUUCAAACAGGUUUCAAUAAUCAGUGUACAGUCAGUUUGAUGCAACAACAUCCAAUUGAAGAUGGCACUUCCUUAUCCGCUGCAAAUAGACCCUAAAUGACUGCACUUGGCUUCUGCUCUCUGAUAAUCCUGAACUUGAUGCCCUUGAGUCCACGUUAACAAGGUUGAUUAUUUUUAAAUACUACUAUGAAUGAUAAAGUUGAUCCGCACACCCCAGCCAUUGCCGCAGUGAACGGCGCAGUCUUGUAACAUUUUUACAGCCCAGCUAGCUACAUAAAGGUGAUUUAUUGUCGAGGAGUAGUGACGUGAAACAUGUUUUUGUAUUUUUAGGCAUUUUUUGUAUUUUCAGGCUGGCUAGCUAUAAUUGCAAUGCCACCUAGCCUUAGCCGUGCUAGCUCGCGAUUAGCAUGAAAACAUUUACAAAACUCACAUAAAGCUCAUUUGACCUAAGACAACCCUGUAAAAACAUUACUAAAAUCUACAACAUACCAGCUUUCCAACAGUACAGAUAUUACUUUUGAAUACCCUUUGAAAUGUUAAUAUUUAAUCUAAGCCUAUGGUGCAGAAAUGAACAACUUCAGAACCAGGAACGUUAACGUUAGUACUAUGGCACAGUUUUAACAGGAAUCGCAGUUCAUUCAGGAGAUUCGUUCGUCUGGCUGGCAUGCACAACAAGCCAGUUCUGGUCACCGGCUCCUCGGACUUGGAGAGGAGCUAGAGGUGCACCUUGUUAUGCCAUCACUCAAGAGCAACAGGUUUCUGAUGUCCAGUGCUUUCAGUGUGUCUCAGAUGGCAGAUAUUCAACAUGUGUCCUGAUCAACACUCAAACGUCGUCUAAGUUCAGUUGUUCUUGGGCGUAAUGCUAUAAACUACAGACUUUAUAUGCAUGGUUUCCAGUUUCAUACCAAUCAAACAAUUUAGAAUGACUAUAAUCAAGACGGGACUUUAAAAUGACUAUGAUGAUAUACAUUACCUCAUCUCUGUCCAUUGUUACAAAUUUCCCAGACACUUCAAUCUGUCACAUGCACCAUUAUAUUCUGACAUGUCAGACUUGGCUCUGGAUGUAAAGAUGAAGGACUUGGUGGCUGGGAACGACGACCUUGGACCGGAGGCUGUUCGAGCACUCACGUUUUUGAAAUGUGUAAGCCUUUAAAUGACCUUUUACAGACUACUUCUACAAACGAGGCUACACUUGUGGCAGCACCUAUUCCUGUGGCCCCCCCAUCUUCUGCACCACUUCCUGUGGCCUCCCCUCCACCAUUCCCUGAGGCUUAUCGUCCACCUUCACCACACUCUUCUGUUGAUGUUGGUGAUGACAAUGAUGUUGACCUCCAAACACUGCUGAAGUUAAUGAGAUGCCAACCAAAUGAACGUGGUGAGGGACAACGUUUAUGAUUGUGCAAUGAGAGGCUUCAAGAGAGCCCGCUUUAAUCAGGAGGCAAAAAUUGACACGUUUUUUAGGGAUGCUGACGGUAAAGGGGCAGCUGAUGAGGGUGGUCCCUCAUGAGAAUUUCCCCAGCUGCUAAUGAGUGCCAUCCAUUCCUCUGCAAUAUUUGAGGGACCUGAUUGACAAAAAUGCCUUUCUUGCAACUCUCAAGCACUCUAUGAUGGCGUAUACAAGCAGGUGGGCCGCAUGAUUGCUGUCUGUCUGGUACAUGGGGGUGUAGAGACACCAUUUUUUCAGAGAGGCUAUACAGGCAAGUGUGUGGCCUAAAACCUCCUGUGCCAGAACUGAAAGAAAUUGCGGAAUAUGACUUCAGAGAGAAGUUGGAGAAGGGGGGAACACAUACUCUUUAACCAUGGAGAAGGUUUUCGUUUUCACUUCAGGGGCUUCAGCAUUCCUAGGCUGGGAUUGCCAGUGGAGCCACAACUACAGUUCUCUGCAACCGCACAGCAAGCGGUACCGGAGCGCCAAGUCUAGGUCCAAGAGGCUUCUAAACAGCUUCUACCCCCAAGCCAUAAGACUACUGAACAUCUAAUCAAAUGGCUACCCAGACUAUUUUCUGCUACUCUAUCUAUGCAUAGUCACUUUAAUAUCUCUACCUAUAUG